UCAAAGUUUUGAAAAGCUAUUAGCCAGGAUCAUGGUGUAAUAAGACAUAACGUUUUUCCUUUAAAAAAUUUAAGUGCGUGUGUAGAGUUAAGAAGCUGUUGUACAUUUAUGAUUUAAUAAAAUAAUUCUAAAGGAAAUUGUGUAAUUAUAGACUUUUUAUUUUAAAUAAGUUAAGGAGUGGGUAGUAUAAUUAAGGUCCAUUGCAAAGUUGUUGUUACAUUUGUGUAAGAUAAAUGCUGGUCAGAUAUAAGUGUGUUGUCUGCAAUUCAUCAGGAUUAAAUUAUCUAGAUAACUUAAGGGAUAUCUCUGCAAGGAGAAACACCUUUUUAGAUCUUUUAGAUGCUGCUUCUUCAAUGCAAGGAAAGGAAAUAACCCCAGCGAGGUACUCUACAGGGACACAGGUCUAGUACAAGAGAACUCUUGACGGCUACUAAGUUCAGCCAGUCUUAAAAAACUGUGCUGUUUCUACAAAGCUUUAACUACAGUAGUUUAUAAGGAUGCCAACGAAAGCUGAGGGUGUAGAGCAAAGUAGUUCUAAGCUUCAGUUAAACUUCUUUAGCAUUGAUAUGAACCAUGGACAAGUAUAUUCUGCUGCCACAAAGACUGUAAAGUGCUUCAUUUCAACAGCUGAGGCAAGCCAAGUGAUCAUUAAUAAAGCUUUUCUUGGUUCCUUCAGUGGUGUUGGUAGUAAAAUGGAAGGUGUCUUGCUGCAGGUAACUAAUGAAGAAGUGGUCAACCACAGAGUCUUCAAGAAAUAAGAAAUUCUGUACCAUCUGAAAGUAGUUCUUGUUGGUGCCUUCAUUUAAGAAGCACUCUCUUAAGAUUAAAGGGAAAUGUUUUUUGAUAAAAACAAAAAUUUGAUUUUAGUACAGGUUCUUGAUAAAAAAUGAGUGUUUGUAAAAUAACAUCAGUUAGAG
ensembl:lncRNA